UUCAGAGGAUUAUCAUAUAGAGCUUGUUAUGCCACCAUGGUUCUUUGAAGAGAAAGCUCCACGCCUUGAAGACUUUAUUCCUAAUGUUCCUACAUCACCCGAGUUUUGUUUGGGAACGGUCAAAGCUGCUAGUCACAUGUUGCUUCCCCCUCAUCACUACAAAAUUCGAGGACAAAUUUUUCCAAGCUGGGGAGAGUUGAUGCAGAUUUAUCACCAAAUUGGGC